CCCGGCGGCGCGCUGCCCGCUGCUGACACCGUGUGGAGCCGCGCCGGGGCUGCAGCGCGCCCCGUCCUUCCGCGGGUCCCGCCGGCAGCGCUGCUGAAAGCCCCCGGUCCCGCUUCACGGAUGGUUAGAGGAAGAGCUCGGCAGCGGUUUCCUACCGUCGAGCGUUACAGAAUUGCAUGGGUUGGAGGAGACCUCUGGAGAUGAUCAAGUCCAAACCCCUGCUAAAGCAGGUACCCUACAGCAGAUCACACAGGAGCCUGACCCCAUGGACUUGACUCCCACACUUCAGAUAUUUAUGAACAGCGAUGGGAUUUCUUCUCAGCCUUCUCUUCUCCAUGCUGAACAGCCUUCUCUCAUAAAGGAGGUGCUCCAGGACCCUCAUCAUCUCUGUGGCCUUCCGCUGGACUCUCUCUAGAAGUUCCCUGUCUUUUUUGAACAGAGGAGCUCAGAACUGGACAUAGUACUCUGGAUGUGGCCUCACCAGAGCAGAGUUGAGGGGGAAGAUCACCUCCCUUGACCUGCUGGCCACAUUCUUUUCAAUGCACUCCAGGAUACCAUUGCCCUGCUUGGCCACCCAGGCGCACUGCUGGCUCAUGGCCAACCUGUUGUCCACCAGGACCAUUAAGUUCUCCUCAGAGCUCCUCUCCAGCAGGUCAGUCUCUAACCUGUACUGGUGCAUAUGGUUAUUCCUCCCCGGGUGCAGGGCACUACACUUGCACUUGUUGAACCUCAGCAGUCUGAUCAGGUUUUGUUGAAGGGCAGCACAGCCCUCUGGUGUGUCAGCCAUUCCUCCCACCUUUGUAUAAUCAGCAAACUUGCUGAGGGUGGAAUCCCCUCAUCUAGAGUGGUCCCUACUGGUCAUUCUGACAUGGUGCUAAAGUGGCCAGAGUGGACCAGUACAUCAGAUCCACAAAGUGUGGAUUUAUUCAGAAGUCUAAAGAUCCCUCAAUACCCUCUUCCCCUUGCUCAUUACCACUGGCUUGUGCAAUGCUGAACUGGUGCCAGUCAUGUGGUUGCAGCUAAGUGGUUGUGUCCUCCUCCACUCAUACAGCAGGGAUGCAUCUGCUCUAGAAACAGGGAAGACUACAUAAAAAUACAUUUCGGCUAAUUUUGUUCUGAAGUACUCUAGGACACUGCAGUAGUAGAACUUAUUUUAGAUGAAAAUUGCACAUCUGCAAAGAUUUCUGCAUCAUCCCGAUAGUGUUCUGGCAUCUCCAUUUCAGCAAUUCCCUCAGUGCAAAGUGGAUUUUGUGAAAAGAAAAUACACAUGAGUGGAUUGCCACCUGCAGCCUAGUUUUCUAUGAAUCUGAAACAGUGACUCAGUACUCAAAGAUAUUGUUAGAUAAUAAUAUACCACUUAUAUGUGUGUAUAUAUAUAUAUAUAUGGAUGCCUUUAUGCUGUUGAUGUUUUUUUCAUGGUCUCUCUAGGUUAGUAUUUCCUUAUCAGUUUUAAGUUCUGCAUCUCUACUUCAAAUAAGAUGAGAUGGAGUCCUUGAUUUCAGUUGCUAUAUGCUUCUCUUCAUCCUUCCCAACUAAACAUGGAGCUUUGUUGGAUACCAGCCCUCUUCUGGAAUCUUGCCAAAAGCAGGUGCUUCCUACAACACGUGAUGGCCUGUUCGAAAUAACAAAUUCUGUUAGGCAACAAUGGAGAAGAAAGAAAAACCAGAUACUGGGUGGGCAUUUUGGAUCACAGUAAUAUAAGGAAGCCUAAAGUUGUGUCUCUCGCCUAACUCCUCGGUGUCUCCAUAUCCAGAAAGGUGGAUGGAUCUCUCUUUGCAGUGACCAAGAAGGCAGAGUUCAUGGUGCACUUGGCAGACCUUGCUGGGUUGUUCACAGGUUAGAUAUGAGGAGGGUUCUUACUCCCUGAAAUGAUGGUUUUCUGCUUUAAACUCAUUUGUGUUAAGGUAGGGAAAGAAUGAUUCUGCUACCAGGUCAAUCACCCCCAAUUCUCUUCUUGUUUCUUUUUAUACUUGGGCUCAAUUUCCUCCUUCUCCCCAGAGUUGACAUCUCAGUUAUAAGGAAAUCCAUAAAUUUUACUUCCUUUUAGAGCUGCCAAGGUUGUGUAUGGUUUGCUUUUUUUCAUGGUGAUCAGGGUGCUGUUGAGAGCAUUUGAACAGGCUUACAUACUCUCUUUUCUCUGCGCAGAUAGCAAGGCUUUAUUCUGUAGCCUCUAUAAAGCCACAGAAAAGCUCCGUUUGUCAGUGAUGGAAAUUAGUGGAUACCUUUGUUCUCUCAGUGAGUGCCAUAUCCAAAAAAAAAUCAAGUUGCGGAGAUUCUCUUGCAAAUUCUAAUUAACAGUCAGGAUGGAUUCUGAAAUAGGUGGGAAAUGGGAAUGUAUUCUGGAAUAUUUUUGCAUGAUAUGCCUUGUGGUACGUCAGGAUUGUGCAUUUUGAAAAGUGCCAUUGACAUCAGUGAAGGGAAUGCAGUGAAUUCAGUGAAUGCUGACACAGACAAUGCGAUUGGAACCAGAAAUAAAGGACUGAAUUGAUUUCUCCUAAUUUAGAUACCUUCAGCUGAGCUAGCCUUGAAUGUACCCAUCUCCACUGAGUAUAAAGGGACCCUAGGGUGACUUGCUCAUAUGUAAAGGUCUAUACUCUGGAAUGUUUAAUAUUAACUAAAAUUAAUCUUACUCACAAGAGUUGGUUUCUUAUUCAUUUCAGCUUUCUGCCAUGUAUCAGUUUUCUUAUGUGGGGUCAUAUUAUGGACUGAUUACAGGAUCAGAGCCUGUCUCCAUCUUAUUUGCAGAAGCUGUGGGAAAAGAAAGGAAUACAGAGAAAAGAAGCAACUGGAUAAGGCAAAUCUUUGCUCCUAAUCUGAGUAUUGUAUGUAAUGGCUGCCUGGGAAACGUGUGGUAGGAGAAAUUAAUGAUUCUGAAAUGAGAAAAACCUGGUAAGACAAUGUCUUCAAACCCAGCUCUGGAUGCUUCUGUAAAUCCUACAAAUCCCAGUGCAUCAAAGGUGCAGUAAAGGGGCCACUUUAUCCUCGAGUUUGUUGGUCUACUGGGAAACACUGCCAGCUCCUGAGAAGGCAGCACCUUGCGUUGUUCUACCUUACUCUGGCUCUCAGCCCAGUGUGGAGUCCCAGGGAGAGAGAGAAUUACCGCAACGCUUCAGGAAAGGAUAAACAAGCGGUAAGUGGAUGUUAACGUGGGCAAAGAGGACAGUGCGUCAGCAGAAUAAAAUGGCGUGAACAACUGACCUAAUGGUUACUACUACAAGAAAAGAAAAAUCUUGUGCAAAGGCUAGAGGUGGGAAAUCCGGAGAAUGCUUGUGAGCUGGAGGAAGGGAUUGAUCAGUACAUUUAUUUUUCUUGUUUGUUUUGUUUUGCAUGUAGGCAGGGGCCUCGCAGUACUCUUGGAGAAUUUUAGUUGCUUCAGAUGAUGAGAUAAAUAGGGAAAGUGGUACUUGCACUGGGGGCACAUUGCAGUCCUUCCCUUUUUGUGAAAUUUCUUACUUUCUCUGGAUACAAAUUUAGCAGAAGGGAAAGCAAAAUAGAAGUGCCAGGCUGUGUCUGAAUGUCAUAAUAGAGGAGGUUUUCAAAGGUUCCGGUGAAUCAAAUAAGAUCACAGGUGCAUGCUCAAAUAGUGCUCAUGAAUUCCAGGCGGUUUAAUGAGGCUGCAUGCUGCACAAAUCAACUGCUAUGAUGUAUAAGAACAGGUCUAGACCAGAUUGCAGAAUUUUUAUUGUUAAAAAAGGCUGAAUUUUGGCUAUCACUUUCCCCUCUCUCUCUCUCUCUCUUUCUCUUUUUUUCCUGGGAUGCAAAUUCUUCAGACAUGAAGCUAAAUUUCAUAUGUCUGGGAGCUUCAUUCUCUUCUUGGAGACAUAAGACCAAGAGAAGGAUUAUGAAAAGUCUUUCCACCCAUACCUGCAGUGUACUCCUCUGACUUAUGUAUUAAUAAUGGAUCAGAAUGCUACCAUGAAUUAGCAAAGCUCUUCUUUCCUACCACUCUGUCCUAGCAGGAAAGAGAGUGUGAGUAGUGUGGAGUGAAUGCUGAUUAUCUGUGCUCAAAUAAAGGUAAAAAUUGUUUUUCAGAAAUGCUGAGCACCUGGAAUUUCAACUGAUUUUAAGUGUGUGGAAAGCAUGGGAUAAAAUGCAGUAUCUCCAAUCAUUAUUAUAACCAAGGUCAAGUUAGUUAGGCUGGGUUUGCUGCUUUCUGGCCAAGGAAAGGCACAGCACAAGUUAUCCUCUCUGAUAUUUGUAAUUUAUUAAAGAUUUAUUCGUGUUUUGUGCUCCUAAUUUAAAUCACUGUGUAAAGGUUGUCCAGUUCUUCUCUUACCUGAGUGAAUCUUGGAUAGGCAACUGAUAAUGCCUCAAGUACAGACAUGCUUUGAGAGAAAGCCCAGAAAAGAUCAUCUAAAAGAUUGCUCAGUCUGGGUAAUCUCAGGCAAUUUUUUUUCCUGAAACAACAAACAAAAUGAUGUGAAGGCAAUAGACAAGCAAGCCUGGCUGGCUGUUACUAAGACAGAAAAGAGUUUCCAAGAGAAUGCCAUGUGGCACACACAUCAACACAGCAUAAGGCUUGCCCAUAAACCCUGCUUUAAGAGCAUCCGCACUUAUCCCACACUACUCAGCCACAACUGGUGCUCAGAGCUGGGAAGGCAGUGUGUGUCCCCAGCUGACCCCUGCUUCUUCCAUGCGUGGAGCACUGCAUAAAGGGAUUCAGAACAAUUUCUUAGUGCUGGAAUAUUGGAAAUUGCCCUCUUGAGGUGAGAGGAAACAUACUGUUUUGCCCAUGGCUCCAGAGGUACUGAUUUCCUGAGGUGAAGUCUGCUUUUGUUCCCAUUUCUUUCCUUCUUCCUUUUCCCCACUUGCACGUGUGUGAACACACACGCAGAAAUAGCACAGGUUGCAGGAAGAAGACACAGUGUGUUCCUCUCCUUCCAAUGUGGGUGGUGAGACAGCGAGGUGGGGAGCAGAGCACAAGCGUGUUGGUGUGGGCACACCAGCGGGGCUCAGCAGCCCAUCCACAGCCCUUGGGAUCUGUGGUGUAACACACUGCCUUGUGCCAUCCCUCAGCGCAGCACCUGGGCUCGAAGCCACGCUUUAUCUCAAACCUCCUGAAGCAUAUGUGAGCCUCAUUUUUGCCAAGGCCAACCCAUCCUUUCCGUCUGAAUGCAGCAAGCCGCAAAUCCAGGAGGGAUGCUCUGCCCAAGGUGUGAGAAGAUCCUGCGGAUUCGCAUGCCUCUGCUCCUGUGCCUCAGCUGCUGAACGCUGAAAUCUCCACUGGUUGGACAGUGAGACUGGAAGCACAGAGAAGCGAUAAAGAACAACGCGAGCGGAUUCAAAGGGGAUUUGGAUCAUUUAGUUGAUGAGCCAGCAGAUGGCAAAUGCUGCUUAGUAUAGAAAAUGAAAAGUAAUUAGUCUGGGAACAAAGAGCAAAUGUAAGGAAGGGGUGUUAUAUUCAGCACGCUGAUCAGAGAGAAAAAGGGGUAACCGUGGAAAAAAAUCAUAGAAACCGUCACUUCAGUGCACAGCUGCAAUAAAAAAGGCAAACAAGACACUAAACUGAUGGAACAAUGAGCUAUAAUGCACCAGGAAAGAGGCAAUACAGUCCUCUGGAAGAUGGUUAUUAGGCCUCGCUAGAAUACUGCGUGGAGCAUGGGUCACUGUCUCAGGAAGGUUAUGUUUGGAGAAAGGUGUAUUAUAAAGCAACUAAACUCUAAUGGUUUCAGUGAUCUCAGUUCUGAGGCAAAGUUAAGAGGCUCAUUUUAAGGGGUCAAAGAGUCCUUAAAGGGAUUUUAAAAUUAUAGUAACAAUCAGUAGUGUUACCAGACAACAUUUAGAGUGCUAUGAGAUUAUGAAAAUUAAGGAAGUGGUGCUGAGCACAGAGCAGAAACUUCACAAAGUGCUGCACAAAAAGAAGAGACCAUUUCCUUCUGACUGCACUGUGUUAGCUGAGGGUCAGUUCAGCUUCAGGAGUGCUUGGGCCAGUGAGUGGUGCACUGUUACAGUACAUGAGACUAUCGUGUGGAACAAGCAGAAGGGCAGGAAAGGCCUGGAAAAAAUGGUUCAGGGUUUGUUUUUAUUUGCUUUCUGCAUGUAUAGGUUCCUAAACUGUACCUUGUCUACCAAUAAAAUGUGCAUCCUUUGCACACAAGUCAUAACAAACGUGCACUGGGGCAAAGAAGAAGAAAGAACAGCGUGGGAUCAUACUGUGUACAAAUAAGCAAGUUUCAGGUUUAGUUGAGACAAAGAAUUGUUGUUGGGUUGCUGCUUGAGAGAGCAUAGAAUCACAGAAUGUUGGUUGGAAGGACCUCAAUACCCACCCAGCUCCAACCCUCUGCCAUGGGCAGGGCUGCCCCCCCCCAGCUCAGGCUGCCAAAGGCCCCAUCCAACCUGGCCUUGAGCGCCUCCAGGAACGGGCCACAGGAACAUGAGAGGCUGAACUGGAGUUAUAUCCACCUAUGUUUAAAAAAGGUUGGUUUUUAAUGAUAUAUCACCAGGAAAUAGAAGGCAAGCCUCCUAAAAGAGAGCUAUUUUCUAUGGCUUAAGCUUAGAUCAUGAUUAAGCUUUGCCCUUUUUGAUGCUGGCAGCUCUAUAAAAGGGAAAGCAAGACAGGAGCAGGCAAGAUUGAGCUUGACUUUGUUGUGCAGUGAGGAAGGUAUCGAAUACUCACACUCCACAUCUGCAUGGUUGUGGCUCCCCAGUCUUAGUUCCACUCUAUUGUUAUAAAGAAAAUGGUUUUGUGCUGAAAAUGCCUUGUGCAGAUUUACUACAGAUGGUGCCGUAUCGCUAGUGGAAAAACACAGGUCUGAAUCUGCUGAUGUUGUUGCAGCUAGGCAAAGCUUUCCAGUGCCUCUGAAGUUGAUGCAGAGGUGGGAAAAUAGAAAUUGUGUAGACUGAUGAUCUGGCCUUGAAAGGACCAGCAACAACUGCUUGUAUCAACCUCAGAGACAGAUGUGGGAUAAUCUACCCCUCUAGAAACUUCAUUUUUCUUCUCCCAUAGUCAGAUACUGGCUUAAAUUCCAAAGCCCUGCCUUUAUACUUCCAAGUUUAGCGUAAUUGUUCUGACUGAAUGUUCUUGUGAUCCAUAUAGCCAUCCAGUCUUUCUUUGAAUCCUACAAAAUUCUUGACCUUGAUGCUUUCCUGUGGUGAUAUCUUCCACUGUCCAAUUAUACGUUAUGUGGAAGAGAUUUUCCUUUGAUCACCUUUGAAUGCAUGAGGUCUUCAUUUCAUUGAACAUUUCUUUAUUCUUGUAUUAUACGGCAAGAUAAAGAGAAGUAUCUGAUACAUCUUCUCGUGGUGUAUUUGGUAAUUUAUCUUGCUAUGUCUCUUACGCAUCUUCUUUCAGAGAUAAACAAACCUCAGUCUUUUCAGUCUCCUGCCACGGCCCUGCCUCUGCCUCCACCCCCUGCCUUCUUACUCUCACUCUUACUCUCCGACCUCUACUUGUUCCUGCAGGGUCUUUUAGAGCUUGGAAGGGAUAAGGACAGAUGAGAAUGCAGCACUGAUUGGUACAGAGGGAGAAUACUGUCUGCUUUAUUCACUGUCUCAUUCACUGAGUAGCUGAACAUUUUGUUGGCUGUUUGGAUUGCAGCUGUACCCUGAGUAGAUGUCUUUCCUGAGCUGUCUCUAUGGUUGUUUAGGCAGUUGGUGCUGAGCUCUUCACUUCAGACAUUAACUUCUGUAACCACCUCCUCUCUGGCAUCUCUAACAGUCAUGCUGUCUCACUUCAUCUGGCAGAUAUUUUGCUACCCAGGCAGUCUGCAUUAUCCAGCAACCUGACCUUAUCUCACCUUCCUUAUUCCUUUUUUCUUAUCACAUCAAGAAGAAAGGCCUUACCCUCAUUUUAAAAAGGCCUUUUUAAUGCUUCUUUUUGCUAUCUGCCUGCUUUUAUGCCCUUCUUAAACUAUUCAUGACUUCCCUUUCAUGUUUUUGUAGUUCUCAUGUGCUUUUCCGACACUGCCCGUGCAGACUUUAUGAUGGGAGCUUUUCUGUGCUGAUCUGUAAGGUUACUUACUACUACUUUGUAGUCAUUCAGACCAUCCUUAAGUCUAGCUUUCUGGUAGUACCUCCAAGAUACAGCAAAGAGCAACGAUGCAGGGUAAUCUGGAAUUGCACAGUACGUCCAUUAGAAGUGCCCAGAUGUGAAGAUGUGCAGAGGGUGGAGCUCUCAUGAUGUUUAGUAGGAGGUGUGCUUCCUCUCUUAUGUAGAAAACUCCUUGGAAAGUAAAAAAUAAUUCAUGUGAGAUUAGACAGUGACCUCCAGGGCAGCUGGGAACCAGGCACGCAAGUGCACUUCAGUCACAUAGGUGACUCCCCAUCCCAUUAGGACAGUGCAGGAAGCUUUCUCACAGUUUUGGAGCUGAAGAUGUUUCUCAUAUGCUGUUGUUGUAGUCUUGUAGACUGUGGGGUUUUUUUUGUAUAGGAACCCUGUUUGCAAACUAUCACCUCGUUGAGCUAAAACCCAAAACAUUCUUGAGGCUGAAAAGGGAAUUUACUUCUGAGUGUUUCCUGUUUUUUGAGGCUAUUUCAUACCACAGUGCUGUUCUGGAUAAAACAGUGUUUCUUUCAUUCCAGUAUAUAGUACUGGAAAUUAAUAAAUUAUUGAAGGUAGGAAGAUGGGAGUGAAUUAGAAGUGAACCGAGUGAAGAUCAGGUGGUACCUGAAGAAUUUCACCUGGGAAAGUGCCACUGAGAGGAAUUAGCACUGAGGUUGUCAUGUGUUGGGCUGAAAUCCACAAAGCAUUUGUUUCUGCUGCCUUACUCAGGAAGGUGCAGAAGAGAUGUUGGGAGGCACCUGGCCACUUAAUUUUGGGGAGAGCAAAGGGGAUGGUGAACAAUUCCCAACAUUGUUUAAAAUGAGGAAGAGAGUGGUGAGUAGAACCUCUUUUUUACUUUAAUAAAGGCAAUGUAAUCUGAAUGUCAUCUCUUCAUUAUGUGGUGACUGUGACUGACACAUGAUUUAAAUUGGUACUUGUAAGGCAAAUGGAAAAAAGAAGAGAAUGGCUGAGCAGUAGAAGCAAAACCAGUUGGGUCACUUCUCUUUCUUUAGUGUAAAAUUCUCAGAACACGCUCACUGAGAAAAGGUAUAAUCAAAAGUGAAUUUCGAGUUGCUUUCAGGGUUCCAACUGCCUUCCAUCUUCUCAAGGCCCCUAUUUUUGCUUUGAUAGAGGCUUUGUGAGAUGGUUAUCAUACCUCUUUCUUAGGUCUGGAAACCGACAAUACAGCUUCAUCCUCUUCUUGUGGCUUUGUCUGGAUGAGGAUGGGGAAUUUGAUGAGACGGUGACCUAAAGCAGCAGGACAAGACAAAGUACAGUUUUUGUGUACGCCUUGUUAAAUUUAAACUUAAAUUCUCCACUCUUGCUGUGUUUUAACUCGAUACGCAGUGAAGUCUACUGUAUUUCAUUUUGAUUAGAAAAUAAAAGCUCAAGCUAGUUGACAGGAUCUUAGCCUUGGCACUUUAAUUCCAUCCUAGACAAUAAAUAUGUUCUGAUGAAGCAAGAACAAAUUAUUUCUGCUCCAUCUGAACCUUUUUGAAGCUUUUGCAACAUCUUUGAAGUUUAGGUAACUUUUAAGGCCUAAACCCUUAAUUGACCAGAGCUGCAAAAGCUUGUUUUUGUUACCUUUAGAGAAGCAGAGUAGCAGUGAGAGGGCUGGCGAUAUGUCUCAAGGUACUUUUUCAAGGAUAUACACCCUUUCCCCAGCUGCUUUUCCAAUAAAGUAUACUCUUUUUGCUUGGUGUUCUCUCUGCUUUACCUGGUGGGACUUGUAAAUCAUAAGCUGUAUGCAGCACUGUGGGACUGAGAAAUACCUUUCUGGGUAGGUUUAGGGAUAAGGGAAGGGAAGGGAAGGGAAG
ensembl:lncRNA